ensembl:lincRNA
CCUAGCCAUAGCCAUAUGUGUCUCACAGCAAUAGGAAACAGGAGUGACACCAGGCUGCUACCAGCCAUUAAUGGAGAUGAGCAUUUUUUUUGUAAAGGUGGUAGAACUUUGUGUCUGCUUUUGGCUUUGCAGAAUGAAAAUUGAAAGCACCUGGCAUAACAGGUUGUCUUAUUAUUCUUCCCUGGCUUAGAAGCUCUGACAUCUGCCCCUUACUUCUGCCCUCCCUCCACCAGGAAACAUGGGACAGGUCUAAGUGAAGCUCUCCUUAGUUUCCCCAAGGCUUUGGAGUGGGGCUGGGUGGAAGGAGCAAAAGGGCUAGGGAGAGUGAGGGACUGGAAGGGUAAACUGGCUUGUGUGCACUCAAUUAAUAUAUUCCACGGAAGGGCACACUGCUUGUCCUGAGAAAAUUAUUAUUCCAGAGAAAUACUUCAGUGUAGUCAGAUUACAUUAGCCUUCUCUUCAAGGAGCUCCUCCAAUCUCACUUCCUCUAUGACAUCAUAAGGCAGCACAAGCCCGAUGCAGACACCUGCCCUUCGGCUAGCACCCCAGCUGACACUAGCACACAGUGCCAAUGUCUGAUGUCCUGCCCUCCACUCCUAAGUGUUCUUUCUUUCUCCGUUGUCAUAUCUGGGGACCAGAUAAGCUCAUGCCUACCAAUUCCUGCAUCAGUCAUUUCCAUGGCGAGGUCUUAGAUGGACACUGGAUGAGGGACCAGGAACACAGAGCCACACACGGUCCUAUUCUCUCAACCGAGAAUCACAUACUGAAUUUUAUUUGGGGUCCAGCAAGUAUUAAAGAAGGAUAUUUGGAGAAUGUUAAUAAAAUAUCUCUGAGCGGCUUGUAGUCUUGGUAAGAAAGUGAAAAUUACAUUCAGAAAAUUACAGGUGAACAAUGUAAGAAAAAAUACAGAUUGACUACUGUCUUUGGUAGCUCUAGCAUUUAAAUCUCAGGGUUUGGAGAAGGAAAAGAGACAAUAUGCAUCACACUAUGCAGGC